rnacentral:rRNA from 1 species
UACGGAGGAUGCAAGCGUUGUCCGGAAUCAUUGGGCGUAAAGCGCGUGUAGGCGGCCUUGUAAGUCCGUUCUGAAAGUCCGGGGCUCAACCCCGGGAGGCGGAUGGAUACUGCAAGGCUCGAGUCCGGAAGAGGCGAGUGGAAUUCCCGGUGUAGCGGUGAAAUACGCAGAUAUCGGGAGGAACACCUAUGGCGAAGGCAGCUCGCUGGGACGUUACUGACGCUGAGACGCGAAAGCGUGGGGAGCAAACAGG